GUUCUUGUAGUUUAAAAAUAAAACGUAACGUUGAAAAUGUUAAGAUAAGCAAUUCAAGAAUA
rnacentral:tRNA from 1 species